rnacentral:ncRNA from 2 species
CCUUCGCGGCUUGUUUCAGGUGCUCUGUGGCCAAAGGUCGACAGGGUGAAACAGGGAAGCCGGUGAGGGCGUGUUUGAUCCACACAACCGCUUUGAUCCCGGCGCUGCCCCCGCAACGGUAAAUGAGUAAAGGCUGCGCUCGAUGUCACUGUGUUUUUGCACGGGAAGACGCGUGGUCAGGGUUGCUCCGUCUGGAGUAUCCCGCUUGUGAGCCCGGAGACCGGCCUGAUCCAUCCAACACCU